GUGUGGAUUUGGGGAUCCUGAGGAUUUGGGGACACCCCUGGGGACACUGAGAGUCUGGGGACACUGUGGAUUUGGGGACACCCCUGGGGACACCCCUGGGGACAGUGUGGAUUUGGGGACACCAAGGCUCUGGGGACACUGAGGAUUUGGGGACACCCCUGGGGACACCGAGGCUCUGGGGACAGUGUGGAUUUGGGGACACUGAGGCUCUGGGGACAGCUCUGGGGACACCCCUGGGGACAGUGUGGAUUUGGGGACACUGAGGAUUUGGGGACACUGAGGAUUUGGGGACACCCCUGGGGACACUGAGGCUCUGGGGACAGUGUGGAUUUGGGGACACCCCUGGGGACACCCCUGGGGACAGUGUGGAUUUGGGGACAGUGUGGAUUUGGGGACACUGAGGCUCUGGGGACACCGAGGCUCUGGGGACAGCUCUGGGGACAGUGUGGAUUUGGGGACACCCCUGGGGACAGUGUGGAUUUGGGGACACUGAGGAUUUGGGGACACCGAGGCUCUGGGGACAGUGUGGAUUUGGGGACACUGAGGAUUUGGGGA